UUUUGUAUAAUGGGUCAGCGACUUAUAUUCUGUAGCAAGGUUAACCGAAUAGGGGAGCCGAAGGGAAACCGAGUCUUAACUGGGCGUUAAGUUGCAGGGUAUAGACCCGAAACCCGGUGAUCUAGCCAUGGGCAGGUUGAAGGUUGGGUAACACUAACUGGAGGACCGAACCGACUAAUGUUGAAAAAUUAGCGGAUGACUUGUGGCUGGGGGUGAAAGGCCAAUCAAACCGGGAGAUAGCUGGUUCUCCCCGAAAGCUAUUUAGGUAGCGCCUCGUGAAUUCAUCUCCGGGGGUAGAGCACUGUUUCGGCAAGGGGGUCAUCCCGACUUACCAACCCGAUGCAAACUGCGAAUACCGGAGAAUGUUAUCACGGGAGACACACGGCGGGUGCUAACGUCCGUCGUGAAGAGGGAAACAACCCAGACCGCCAGCUAAGGUCCCAAAGUCAUGGUUAAGUGGGAAACGAUGUGGGAAGGCCCAGACAGCCAGGAUGUUGGCUUAGAAGCAGCCAUCAUUUAAAGAAAGCGUAAUAGCUCACUGGUCGAGUCGGCCUGCGCGGAAGAUGUAACGGGGCUAAACCAUGCACCGAAGCUGCGGCAGCGACACUAUGUGUUGUUGGGUAGGGGAGCGUUCUGUAAGCCUGUGAAGGUGUGCUGUGAGGCAUGCUGGAGGUAUCAGAAGUGCGAAUGCUGACAUAAGUAACGAUAAAGCGGGUGAAAAGCCCGCUCGCCGGAAGACCAAGGGUUCCUGUCCAACGUUAAUCGGGGCAGGGUGAGUCGACCCCUAAGGCGAGGCCGAAAGGCGUAGUCGAUGGGAAACAGGUUAAUAUUCCUGUACUUGGUGUUACUGCGAAGGGGGGACGGAGAAGGCUAUGUUGGCCGGGCGACGGUUGUCCCGGUUUAAGCGUGUAGGCUGGUUUUCCAGGCAAAUCCGGAAAAUCAAGGCUGAGGCGUGAUGACGAGGCACUACGGUGCUGAAGCAACAAAUGCCCUGCUUCCAGGAAAAGCCUCUAAGCAUCAGGUAACAUCAAAUCGUACCCCAAACCGACACAGGUGGUCAGGUAGAGAAUACCAAGGCGCUUGAGAGAACUCGGGUGAAGGAACUAGGCAAAAUGGUGCCGUAACUUCGGGAGAAGGCACGCUGAUAUGUAGGUGAAGCGACUUGCUCGUGGAGCUGAAAUCAGUCGAAGAUACCAGCUGGCUGCAACUGUUUAUUAAAAACACAGCACUGUGCAAACACGAAAGUGGACGUAUACGGUGUGACGCCUGCCCGGUGC
rnacentral:rRNA from 1 species